rnacentral:rRNA from 1 species
UCGAGGGGUAUAGUUCUUCGGAAUAGAGACCGGCGCACGGGUGCGUAACGCGUAUGCAAUCUACCUUUCACAGAGGGAUAGCCCAGAGAAAUUUGGAUUAAUACCUCAUAGUAUUAUGAAAUGGCAUCAUUUUAUAAUUAAAGUCACAACGGUGAAAGAUGAGCAUGCGUCCCAUUAGCUAGUUGGUAAGGUAACGGCUUACCAAGGCUACGAUGGGUAGGGGUCCUGAGAGGGAGACCCCCCACACUGGUACUGAGACACGGACCAGACUCCUACGGGAGGCAGCAGUGAGGAAUAUUGGUCAAUGGGCGCAAGCCUGAACCAGCCAUGCCGCGUGCAGGAUGACGGUCCUAUGGAUUGUAAACUGCUUUUGUACGGGAAGAAACAACGAUUCGUGAAUCGUCUUGACGGUACCGUAAGAAUAAGGAUCGGCUAACUCCGUGCCAGCAGCCGCGGUAAUACGGAGGAUCCAAGCGUUAUCCGGAAUCAUUGGGUUUAAAGGGUCCGUAGGCGGUUUAGUAAGUCAGUGGUGAAAGCCCAUCGCUCAACGGUGGAACGGCCAUUGAUACUGCUAGACUUGAAUUAUUAGGAAGUAACUAGAAUAUGUAGUGUAGCGGUGAAAUGCUUAGAGAUUACAUGGAAUACCAAUUGCGAAGGCAGGUUACUACUAAU